rnacentral:rRNA from 1 species
CCCACACUGGUACUGAGACACGGACCAGACUCCUACGGGAGGCAGCAGUGAGGAAUAUUGGUCAAUGGCCGAGAGGCUGAACCAGCCAAGUCGCGUGAGGGAAGAAUGUCCUAAGGAUUGUAAACCUCUUUUGUCGGGGAGCAAAAAGGCUCUGCGGAGUCGUAUUGAGAGUACCCGAAGAAAAAGCAUCGGCUAACUCCGUGCCAGCAGCCGCGGUAAUACGGAGGAUGCGAGCGUUAUCCGGAUUUAUUGGGUUUAAAGGGUGCGCAGGCGGCGUGUCAAGCAAGCGGUAAAAUAGCGGGGCUCAACCCCGUCGAGCCGUUUGAACUGGCGCGCUUGAGUUCAGGCGAGGUAGGCGGAAUUCGUGGUGUAGCGGUGAAAUGCAUAGAUAUCACGAAGAACUCCGAUUGCGAAGGCAGCUUACCAGUCUGCGACUGACGCUCAGGCACGAAAGUGUGGGUAUCGAACAGGAUUAGAUACCCUGGUAGUCCACACAG